rnacentral:rRNA from 1 species
UAGGGAAUCUUCCGCAAUGGGCGAAAGCCUGACGGAGCAACGCCGCGUGAGUGAUGAAGGUUUUCGGAUCGUAAAGCUCUGUUGCCAGGGAAGAACGUCUUGUAGAGUAACUGCUACAAGAGUGACGGUACCUGAGAAGAAAGCCCCGGCUAACUACGUGCCAGCAGCCGCGGUAAUACGUAGGGGGCAAGCGUUGUCCGGAAUUAUUGGGCGUAAAGCGCGCGCAGGCGGUCACUUAAGUCUGGUGUUUAAUCCCGAAGCUCAACUUCGGGUCGCAUCGGAAACUGGGUGACUUGAGUGCAGAAGAGGAGAGUGGAAUUCCACGUGUAGCGGUGAAAUGCGUAGAGAUGUGGAGGAACACCAGUGGCGAAGGCGACUCUCUGGGCUGUAACUGACGCUG